rnacentral:rRNA from 1 species
CCUACGGGAGGCAGCAGUGGGGAAUCUUGCGCAAUGCGCGAAAGCGUGACGCAGCAACGCCGCGUGGAGGAAGACGGCCUUCGGGUUGUAAACUCCUUUCAGUUGGGACGAAGCCUCAGCGGUGAAUAGCCGUUCGAGGUGACGGUACCUUCAGAAGAAGCCCCGGCUAACUACGUGCCAGCAGCCGCGGUAAUACGUAGGGGGCAAGCGUUGUCCGGAAUCAUUGGGCGUAAAGCGCGUGUAGGCGGCCUUGUAAGUCCGUUCUGAAAGCCCGGGGCUCAACCCCGGGAGGCGGAUGGAUACUGCAAGGCUCGAGUCCGGAAGAGGCGAGUGGAAUUCCCGGUGUAGCGGUGAAAUGCGCAGAUAUCGGGAGGAACACCAAUGGCGAAGGCAGCUCGCUGGGACGGUACUGACGCUGAGACGCGAAAGCGUGGGGAGCAAACAGGAUUAGAUACCCUGGUAGUCCACGCCGUAAACGAUGGACACUAGGUGUGGGGGGUGUCGACUCCCUCCGUGCCGAAGCUAACGCAUUAAGUGUCCCGCCUGGGGAGUACGGCCGCAAGGCUAAAACUCAAAGAAAUUGACGGGGGCCCGCACAAGCAGCGGAGCAUGUGGUUUAAUUGGACGCAACGCCAAGAACCUUACCUGGGCUUGACAUGUUCCUGACCGCCGUGGAAACACGGCUUCCCUUCGGGGCGCGAUCACAGGUGGUGCAUGGCUGUCGUCAGCUCGUGUCGUGAGAUGUUGGGUUAAGUCCCGCAACGAGCGCAACCCUCGUCGCAUGUUGCCAGCAUUUAGUUGGGGACUCAUGCGAGACUGCCGGUGACAACCGGAGGAAGGCGGGGAUGACGUCAGUCAUCAUGCCCCUUAUGUCCAGGGGCUACACACGUGCUACAUUGGCGCGUACAGAGGGCUGCGAUACCGCGAGGUGGAGCGAUUCCCUUAAAGCGCGUCUCGGUCGGAUUGGAGGCUGACCCCCCCUCCAUAGAGGCGGAAGUGCU